rnacentral:rRNA from 1 species
UUCGAUUCUGGCUCAGAUUGAACGCUGGCGGCAGGCCUAAUACAUGCAAGUCGAACGGUAACAUAGGAAAAGCUUGCUUUACCUGAUGACGAGUGGCGGACGGGUGAGUAAGUAUUUGGGAAGCUACCUGAUAGAGGGGGACAACAGUUGGAAACGACUGCUAAUACCGCAUACAGCCUGAGGGUGAAAGCAGCAAUGCGCUAUCAGAUGCGCCCAAAUGGGAUUAGCUAGUAGGUGAGGUAAAGGCUCACCUAGGCGACGAUCUCUAGCUGGUCUGAGAGGAUGAUCAGCCACAUUGGGACUGAGACACGGCCCAGACUCCUACGGGAGGCAGCAGUAGGGAAUAUUGCACAAUGGAGGAAACUCUGAUGCCAGCCAUGCCGCGUGUGUGAAGAAGGCCUUCGGGUUGUAAAGCACUUUCGGAGGGGAGGAGAAUGACGUUACCCUCAGAAGAAGCACCGGCUAACUCCGUGCCAGCAGCCGC